rnacentral:tRNA from 2 species
GUUAUUGUAGCUUAAAAAAAUUAAAGCAUAGUAUUGAAAAUACUGAAAUGGGCCGACAACGCCCCAAAAACA